CUCAAAUUCUCUGAAUACAUUUCACUCAAUAUUAAAUAAUAUCCUGUUAUGUUUCCCCUAAGACCCUCCACUUUAACCAUGAGAAAAUUAUGUACCACGAUCUGUAUGACGAGCUCUACAAAGGAGGGAACUACAGAAGCCUGAAGUUGGUGAACCGCUUGUUUGGAGAAAGGACACUCAAUUUUAAAGAUGAUUUCCUUGACAUGUGUGAAGAGUGGUGUUACACAAACUUGAGGAAUGCUGACUUCAAGACAGAUCCUGAGGCUGCGAGAAAACGAAUCAACGACUGGGUGCAGAACAAGACUGAGA